rnacentral:sRNA from 2 species
UCCUAGAGAUCGCCAGGGCAGAAGUGGGGGAACCAUGUUCCUCCGGGCCCGCGCGCAGCGCGCGCCCUUGGGGUUAAGCCAGCCAUUUCCCGAGCGUCCUCGGAAGAAAGGCUGGCCGGGCUUCCCGGCCCGAACCCGACAGCUAACCUCACAGGCGUGCGGGAAAGAUUCC